UCCUGCGUAGCUCAGUUGGCAGAGCGUUCGACUGUUAAUCGAAUGGUCGCUGGUUCAAGCCCAGCCGCAGGAGCAA
rnacentral:tRNA from 17 species